UACGGAGGGGGCUAGCGUUGUUCGGAAAUACUGGGCGUAAAGCGCACGUAGGCGGUGGUGUAAGUCAGAGGUGAAAUCCCAGGGCUCAACCCUGGAACUGCCUUUGAAACUGCUACACUAGAAUCAUGGAGAGGUCAGUGGAAUUCCGAGUGUAGAGGUGAAAUUCGUAGAUAUUCGGAAGAACACCAGUGGCGAAGGCGACUGACUGGACAUGUAUUGACGCUGAGGUGCGAAAGCGUGGGGAGCAAACAGG
rnacentral:rRNA from 1 species